rnacentral:rRNA from 1 species
CCUACGGGUGGCUGCAGUGGGGAAUAUUGGACAAUGGGGGGAACCCUGAUCCAGCCAUGCCGCGUGUGUGAAGAAGGCCCUCGGGUUGUAAAGCACUUUCAGUGAGGAAGAACGCCUGGUGGUUAAUACCCAUCAGGAAAGACAUCACUCACAGAAGAAGCACCGGCUAACUCCGUGCCAGCAGCCGCGGUAAUACGGAGGGUGCGAGCGUUAAUCGGAAUUACUGGGCGUAAAGCGCGCGUAGGUGGCUUGAUAAGCCGGUUGUGAAAGCCCCGGGCUCAACCUGGGAACGGCAUCCGGAACUGUCAAGCUAGUGUGCAGGAGAGGAAGGUAGAAUUCCCGGUGUAGCGGUGAAAUGCGUAGAGAUCGGGAGGAAUACCAGUGGCGAAGGCGGCCUUCUGGACUGACACUGACACUGAGGUGCGAAAGCGUGGGUAGCAAACAGGAUUAGAUACCCGGGUAGUC